GCGGGGGUUGCCAAGCCAGGUCAAAGAUGGCCAGAGGCGUAGCCCUGAGGCGGCUAUCCCGUAGGGGUUCGUGGGUUCAAAUCCCACCCCCCGCA
rnacentral:tRNA from 1 species